ensembl:lncRNA
GUAAGAAAAACUAGAACAUGUUUGCUCAAGCUACCCUUAGUUUUGUCUCCUCCUCCCAGCAGCCUCAGAAUACUCAAGUCUUAUUCCAAGAAAAUGUCUUUCAAUCCUCAAAGCCUUUAUAACUGGUAAAACCACCGUUUAGACGAUCAUAGGAGAAAUUCUGGCCAAAAAAAAAAUUGUCUUGGAGCUCAUGGAAUCCAUCAAAGAGACCUCUGAUCAUCAGGGUGUCGCACACUCCACUUUGAGAGCUGAACAAGGCCAGAGGUGCAGCUACAGCAAGGAUGUUAAAAGCAUCUUGUUGGAACCCCACAAAGGUCUAUAAAAUGGAGACUACACAGGUGGGUUAGCAGCUAAGCUUUCUUAAUGAGAAAUUGGAAAGAAGUGAACAGCAAGUUUGAUGAAACCAUUUUUUCAUAAAGCUGUACAUAUUCCAGAAGACAGAUAAGAAUAUAAACGACAGCAAGAUCAAAGAUUUGAUGGAACAUAUCCACUAGGAGUGAAGUUUGGGUGCCAGAAUCCAGCUCCAGCAGCCAGAGAAUCAGCCUGAAGAGAUGAGCAGUGUCGGCGGAGAAUGAUGCAGCCUCUGAUUCAAGGCUCUGAAGAAAGCUGAUAGGCAAACUUUGGAGCCCCUGAUGAAUCUU